AUGAAGGAUGCUGCUGUGAGCCAUGCCACCCCAUCAGCAAGCAUUGAAGUGGACGCUCCCGAGACCAACCUAAGCAAGGAAGAUUCCCGCUCAUCUGACACUGAUUCCAAGCGCGUGCGUGGUGGCACUCCUGUGUCCACGAUAGAAGCGGCUGAGGCGGCAGUUCACAAUGAUAUGCCAUCUACAGGUGAGAGUCUUGGCACAACAGCUCCAGCUCCUGUCGGUGCAGAUACUGCUAAGGCGACUGUUUCACGUGCUGGUCUUCCACCUAGGCGUCGUAGCCCCCGCAAGCAAUCAACAGACAUACCCAACGCACCGGCUGUAGCUAGGAGCAGCAGAGACGAGUCUGGUUAUGUUCCUGCGUCCACACUGUUCCCCCCACCUGCCAAAAGCAAUGCGAUGGAGAAACCGGAAGACCGGAGCACAACUGAUGCAGGUGUCAAGCCGGGCACGAGUGACGCAGGUGAACGUCCGGAGCAGACUGCACCUUUACCCGCAGUGGAAAUCCCCAGCUUAAAUCUGCGCACUUCCAGGCUCCCAGUCAAUGUGGGUGUCCCAUACAACCCAAACAAGAAGAUUGUCAAGAAAGCUGCGGCUGUUACCACUGACAACACGCCCCGCCCUACAAAUAAGCCCGAUCAUUCUGUAGCGGCCGAUUCGGAUAUGUUUGUUGAUCUUUCACCCUUGGAUUCUGCCCCGCAAGUUGUUCGUGGUCCGGCCACUAGGCAUGAGAGGCACCCAAUGGCCUUCACCCCACCGAGCUUCAGUCUUGGCAUCAGUCAAGAUGAACCAGUGGUGCCAGAUCCUAUGCCACUUGCAUUUGCUUUCCCGGGAGGCAUGCCCGCAAUGAUGGCGCAGCCAAUGGUCAAGGGCAGGAAGGCUGUCAAGUUCACAGAGCCGAUAGUUCAAGCCACCCCUGAGGAGAUUUCACCGUCACUUGAUGAAGCUUACCGCAGGAUCGAGGAAGCAGCAUUGCAGAGGAGGUCCUCACGAGGGCAAGGGCAAUCAAGUUCCAACGUGCCUGCAGAUACGGUAUCUGAGGAUACCAUUAGGAGUGCCAUCCCUGGUUUUGUGAGGCAGCAGAGGGUAGUUCACCCACCUCCCGCAGAAGACUACGAGCCUGAAUUCAGGGCCACUAAGGAAUAG
rnacentral:rRNA from 1 species